AGCAGCCGCGGUAAUUCCAGCUCCAAUAGCGUAUAUUAAAGUUGUUGCAGUUAAAAAGCUCGUAGUUGAAUUUCGGGAUCAAGGAAUCGGUCAUGCCUCGGUAUGUACUGGUUUUAUUGGUUCUCACCUUCUAAAGAACCAUGAUGUCAUUCAUUUGAUGUUAUGGGGAAUUAGGACUGUUACCUUGAAAAAAUUAGAGUGUUUAAAGCAGGCUUACGCUUGAAUACAUUAGCAUGGAAUAAUGAAAUAGGACAUCAGAUUCUAUUUUGUUGGUUUCUAGGAUCGAUGUAAUGAUUAAUAGGGAUAGUUGGGGGCAUUAGUAUUCAAUUGUCAGAGGUGAAAUUCUUGGAUUUAUUGAAGACUAACUACUGCGAAAGCAUUUGCCAAGGAUGUUUUCAUUAAUCAAGAACGAAAGUUAGGGGAUCGAAGACGAUCAGAUACCGUCGUAGUCUUAACCAUAAACUAUGCCGACUAGGAAUCAGACGAUGUUAAUUUUUUAAUGACUCGUUUGGCACCUUAC
rnacentral:misc_RNA from 1 species